AAUAGAUACCCAGGUAGUCCACGCCGUAAACGAUGAGUGCUAAGUGUUAGGGGGUUUCCGCCCCUUAGUGCUGCAGCUAACGCAUUAAGCACUCCGCCUGGGGAGUACGGUCGCAAGACUGAAACUCAAAGGAAUUGACGGGGGCCCGCACAAGCGGUGGAGCAUGUGGUUUAAUUCGAAGCAACGCGAAGAACCUUACCAGGUCUUGACAUCCCAUUGACCGCUAUGGAGACAUAGCUUUCCCUUCGGGGACAGUGGUGACAGGUGGUGCAUGGUUGUCGUCAGCUCGUGUCGUGAGAUGUUGGGUUAAGUCCCGCAACGAGCGCAACCCUUGUUCUUAGUUGCCAUCAUUUAGUUGGGCACUCUAAGGAGACUGCCGGUGACAAACCGGAGGAAGGUGGGGAUGACGUCAAAUCAUCAUGCCCCUUAUGACCCGGGCUACACACGUGCUGCAAUGGACGGUACAAACGGUUGCCAACCCGCGAGGGGGAGCUAAUCCGAUAAAACCGUUCUCAGUUCGGAUUGUAGGCUGCAACUCGCCUAC
rnacentral:rRNA from 1 species